UGUGAGCUCGAUGAGUAGGGCGGGACACGUGGUAUCCUGUCUGAAUAUGGGGGGACCAUCCUCCAAGGCUAAAUACUCCUGACUGACCGAUAGUGAACCAGUACCGUGAGGGAAAGGCGAAAAGAACCCCGGCGAGGGGAGUGAAAAAGAACCUGAAACCGUGUACGUACAAGCAGUGGGAGCCUCUUUAUGGGGUGACUGCGUACCUUUUGUAUAAUGGGUCAGCGACUUAUAUUCUGUAGCAAGGUUAACCGAAUAGGGGAGCCGAAGGGAAACCGAGUCUUAACUGGGCGUUAAGUUGCAGGGUAUAGACCCGAAACCCGGUGAUCUAGCCAUGGGCAGGUUGAAGGUUGGGUAACACUAACUGGAGGACCGAACCGACUAAUGUUGAAAAAUUAGCGGAUGACUUGUGGCUGGGGGUGAAAGGCCAAUCAAACCGGGAGAUAGCUGGUUCUCCCCGAAAGCUAUUUAGGUAGCGCCUCGUGAAUUCAUCUCCGGGGGUAGAGCACUGUUUCGGCAAGGGGGUCAUCCCGACUUACCAACCCGAUGCAAACUGCGAAUACCGGAGAAUGUUAUCACGGGAGACACACGGCGGGUGCUAACGUCCGUCGUGAAGAGGGAAACAACCCAGACCGCCAGCUAAGGUCCCAAAGUCAUGGUUAAGUGGGAAACGAUGUGGGAAGGCCCAGACAGCCAGGAUGUUGGCUUAGAAGCAGCCAUCAUUUAAAGAAAGCGUAAUAGCUCACUGGUCGAGUCGGCCUGCGCGGAAGAUGUAACGGGGCUAAACCAUG
rnacentral:rRNA from 1 species